GGGCUAUUAAGUCAGUUGUGAAAGCCCUGGGCUCAACCUGGGAACUGCAUCUGAUACUGGUAGUCUAGAGUUUAAGAGAGGGAAGUGGAAUUCCAGGUGUAGCAGUGAAAUGCGUAGAUAUCUGGAGGAACAUCAGUGGCGAAGGCGACUUCCUGGCUUAAAACUGACGCUGAGGUGCGAAAGCGUGGGUAGCGAACGGGAUUAGAUACCCCGGUAGUCCACGCCGUAAACGAUGUCAACUAGUUGUUGGUCUUAUUAAAAAGAUUAGUAACGAAGCUAACGCGAUAAGUUGACCGCCUGGGGAGUACGGUCGCAAGAUUAAAACUCAAAGGAAUUGACGGGGGCCCGCACAAGCGGUGGAGCAUGUGGUUUAAUUCGAUGCAACGCGAAGAACCUUACCAUCCCUUGACAUGUAGAGAACUUUCUAGAGAUAGAUUGGUGCCUUCGGGAACUCUAACACAGGUGCUGCAUGGCUGUCGUCAGCUCGUGUCGUGAGAUGUUGGGUUAAGUCCCGCAACGAGCGCAACCCUUAUCAUUAGUUGCUAACAUUUAGUUGAGAACUCUAAUGAGACUGCCGGUGAUAAACCGGAGGAAGGCGGGGACGACGUCAAGUCAUCAUGGCCCUUAUGGGAUGGGCUACACACGUGCUACAAUGGGGGGUACAAAGAGCAGCCAACUGGCAACAGUGCGCGAAUCUCAAAAAACCCUUCGUAGUCCGGAUUGGAGUCUGCAACUCGACUCCAUGAA
rnacentral:rRNA from 1 species